rnacentral:rRNA from 1 species
GCGAACGCUGGCGGCAGGCCUAACACAUGCAAGUCGAACGGAUCCUUCGGGAUUAGUGGCGGACGGGUGAGUAACACGUGGGAACGUGCCUUUUGGUUCGGAACAACUCAGGGAAACUUGAGCUAAUACCGAAUGUGCCCUUCGGGGGAAAGAUUUAUCGCCAUUAGAGCGGCCCGCGUCUGAUUAGCUUGUUGGUGAGGUAAAGGCUCACCAAGGCUACGAUCAGUAGCUGGUCUGAGAGGAUGAUCAGCCACAUUGGGACUGAGACACGGCCCAAACUCCUACGGGAGGCAGCAGUGGGGAAUCUUGCGCAAUGGGCGAAAGCCUGACGCAGCCAUGCCGCGUGAAUGAUGAAGGUCUUAGGAUUGUAAAGCUCUUUAGUCCACGAAUAUAAUGACUGUAGUGGAAGAAUAAGCCCCGGCUAACUUCGU